GUUUCUCAAUGCUACUACAUGUCAGAAUCUUCUGAGGAGUUUUAAAAACACAAUGCACUGGGCUACAACCAAGAAAACUUUAACCAAUCUCCACAGGCAGGGCUGGGCACAGUAUUCUUUUUUUUACAGUUCCCAAGUGGUUCUGAUGUCCAACCUAGAGUGAGAACCGCUGAAUGUUCAAAAAUUAUUUUUAAAAUGAACCUUCAUUGUACUGCCCCAAAUGGAAAGCCAGUAUCACUUGCCAUAAAGAGAAGAUUGGAUUCUAACAAUAAAUACAAUGAAACCAAAUACAAUCUGAUACAAAAGAGAUGGGUAAGCGUUAGAGCUGUGAGGAUAUGCUUACUCCCUCAGUAAUGAGAAAGUCAGGGAACAGAAAAAAUAACAACUUCCUGACCACGGACUUCAAUGAUGCCAUCGCCUUAUGCCUCCACGGGUCAUGAGGGGCAGUGACCUAGUUACAGUCCUAUUUCAGAGGGGAGGUGAGAGGGAAACAUGACUGGCCCAGUUUUGCUACACAACUGGAAAAACAAACACGGAUGAACAAUGGGUGAAGGCCUAUCUGAGACUAAGAGGAAAAAGAUACGGCGACACCACAAAGGGAGGUCUGCAUGGGUACCAGAUUUACUGACUGCAAUUUUAGCACGGAAAGCGACCUCCAAGUUCAAUUGUACAUCCCUUGGUUAUUUUACAGAUGGUGCAAGGUCAGACCACACAGCUUGCCCAAGGUUACCAAGCAAGGUCAGGGGUAGUGCCUGGACCAGAAGCGAGAAUUAGAAGUCCAUCCCCAUGAUUUUCCACUGGAGGAAACUCAGGGCUCCUCAAGGAGCCGUGGACCAGGUCACGCAGCAGUGAACAAACAAGGGCAGAUUUCUGAAAUUCCGGUGUCUUACCACCAAACCCUGUAGCAUCUCUCGGGGAGAACAAAGUCAUUGGUUGUGUGCCCAGAAGAAAGCUUAGUACUCACGAAACCCAAUACGUCCAAUUUGCAGAUCAACACACUGAGACCCCAGAGGAGGGAGGGACCUGUUCAGAUGCCAAACAAAAGACAACCUGAUGACAAGCAGAGACGGUCAUUGUGUCCAGGACACUGUCCUAAGGCUCUUUAAUCUUCACAACAUUACGAGUCAAGUUCUAUCAUCAUCCUCAUUUUAGAUGGGGAAACUGAGGCACAGAGCCCAAGUACCUUGCCUGGGAUCCUAGAGCUAGUAAGGGGCAGAGAAGGAACUCCAAAGAUCAUUUCACAAAAAGGGAAACCGAGGCCCAGAGAGGAUGAAAAGGUAUCGGCCCACCCUUCCCGGGGUGGGGGAUUCAGGGUGGGCGGCCCGGAGGAGGUGGCGCGGCUCAGAAUCCAUGACUCCAAAUUUGCUCGCUCUCCCCGCGAGGGGCAGCUAUGACGUCACAUGCAAGCGAGGAGGAACUGUUACCGUGGAGACAGGGAAUCCCAUUCCGAAACCCGGGCAGGGGAGCCGAGGGUCGCACUCACCUCCCGGGGCACUUCGGAGCCUGCGCCUCUGGUUUGGGUAGGGAGGCCCUGAGCAUGCGCAGACUCCACCUCCCCGCAGCGCGACCAGCGACACCGCCCAAUUGCUGGAGCCUUGAGGACCCCCCAGCCUCCCCGACCGAAAACGCGCGGGGCCAACGCAAUGCGCAUGUGCACCCCUGACCCGUCCUUUAGGGCUGACGUAGUGGCCUCUCCGCCAAUUAGAAGCCUUCUUCCAGCCUUGCCCCGCCUCAUUCGUUAGGCUUCCGGCGUCUCGCUGUCUCCAAGGCAACCCUCUGCCAGAGGGCCUGGGAAAGAGCAGCCCAGAGGUUUCUGGGUAUUGUAGUCUCAAAGGGGCAGAGAAACAGGAGGCGCACAUGUUGGUAAAAAGGAGAUUGUGAUACAAAUACCUACGUCCAGGCAUGACUUUAUGGAUAGAAAGCGCCUGUCAUUAUUAAAUGCCCAGUAAAUGCCGGUUGCCAAGGAGACAGCAGUAAACAAGCAGGGGAACAGCCUCGGACGUUGUGUUGGGAGCUCGGCCCGUGGAAUUAUUCAAAUAAGCCAGUCACAGGAAGCGAGGCUCACCCCAAAAGCCUGCCUCCCAUAGCCCCUCCUGGUUCACUCUGUUUCUGAGCACACCCUCCCUCUGGCCCUGGGUGUCCUCCGCCCAGGCUGUGAGUAUUUGUGACUGAUAAACUGCUGCCGGCUCAUCUGUGCAGUGUCAGGUG
rnacentral:lncRNA from 1 species